rnacentral:rRNA from 1 species
GACGAACGCUGGCGGCGUGCUUAACACAUGCCAGUCGAACGAAGAGGCCAUGCUUUUGCUGGGUGCUCGAGUGGCGAACGGGUGAGUAAAACGUGUGUAACAUGCCCUUAUCUUACGGAUAACACCAGGGAAAUCGGGCUCUAACAGGAGAGGAGCUACUGAAGCGUGGGGGGGGAUGGUAAAAGACGGCGGUUGGGGCUGGUCUAGCUGCUUAUCCGCUGGAUUGUGGAGUAGUGGUGUACACAGGCUGUGAAGGGUAGCCGGCAUGGGAGGGUGACCGGGCACAUGGGGACUACGGUAGGGCGCAGACUCCUACGGGAGGCAGCAGUGGAGAAUAUUGCACAAUGGGCGGAAGCCAGUUGUAGCAACGCCGCGUGCGGGAUGCCGUCCUACGAGUUGUAAACCGCUUUCGCCUGUGACGAAGCGUGAUUGACGGUACCGGGUAAAGAAGCACCGGCUAACUACGUG